GUCGCCUUCCCUUCUCAGAGUAGGCGGUCCUGGCGGGAGUGCACCAAUCACAACGCCUCUUCUUCCCGCCCGUGGGGAUUGGUCCAGGGCUCACGUGAGUCGGCUGAGAGUCAUGUGAUGGCGCUGCCCCAGAGUCUGUAAUGAAGCCGGUGGCUUGCGGUAAAACCCGGAUUUGAAGAAGCCGCGAGCUUCCAGAGGGCAGGGCGCGUUCGGUCCCUUGCCUAGGAAAGGACCCGACGAAUGUGUCACGCGACUUCCCCUCGGACGCAGAGACGCUCCAAACGCUAUUCAGGGUUGGGUCGCUGAGCCCGGCAGAGCCCCUGCCUAGGCUGCCUUCGGCCCUGUCGUACCUGGGGGGAGGGUAGGCCCGUGUCCGCUCGGUGUGGCCGCCUUGUUACCUCUGCGACAGCGGUGAGGGCUCACAGGUGACUGCGGGGCCCCAGCCGAGGAGAGACGGUGGGGACGCACAGCCUGGAAGUGGGGAAUCGGGUGGACCAGCACCUUCUGAAGCCAGGUGGAGCCCACUUCCGUGCACAGCGAGUCACUGUUUCCUACGCAAGCUUUGGUGGCCCUGGACGACCACCCCUGUGCGUCCCAGGCUCCCAUGCCCCGUCGGCAGAAAUGCCAGGCCCCUUAAGCUUCUUGCACCAGAGCCAGCAAAAGAAGUGCAGGAGAGAGGAAUCAGGAAGCCAUAAGCGUGGGAGGAAGAGAAAUGGGCCCGGGCCUAAAAAGAAAUGGCUGUCCACAUUAGAUAAAAGAGGCAGAAAUCCCUGCCUUCACAGAACCUGCCUUUAGUGUCUGGAGAUGAGAAGCAAGAUGAAUAAAACCCACUCUUGGGCCAAGGAGGUAGAUCAGUGGUAGGGCACUUGCCUGAUAUUCGCAGGGCCCUGGGUUCAAUCUCUAGUGCCAAGGAAAUCAAAACAAAAACCCUGUAAUAUCUUGGAACGUAGUGGUACAGAGAAAAACUAAACCUAGGGACCUGUAGGAAGGGUGUGAGGAUGGGUGUCCUUUAUGUAGGGCCUUCUUAUGGGGCUGGGGAUGGAGGUCAGUCGUACAGUGUCUGCCUAGCAAGUACGAGACCCUAGGCUCGAUCCCAGUACUGCCAAAAAAAAGAACAGAGGUGAGGGACAGUACUGCCAGCAGAGGGCGUGGCAGGUGCCCAGGGCCCUGGGCUGGGAAAGACCUGCAGGGCAGUGAGCGUGGGCGAUGCUAGCGGGUUGCCACCAAAGGAGGCCAUGGCAGGGUCCGCAAAGGGGCGUGGUCAGCCCUACUUGGUAACCGGCACCGUGUGCUGUUGGCCAGAGCACUGAGGACAGUGAGUGGACCACUUCGAUCAUGCACUUAGGAGGUGAGGGUAACCUGAACCCCAGUGGUGGCCGUGCAGAGAGAAGCAGUCAGAUCGCAGAGGCAUCCUGAAGGGAGGAUUACAGAGCUGUCUGGUUGGCUGGAAGCCUGUCUUCCCCUUCGUAGGGUCACCUCCACCUCAUUUCCGCUUCAAGCAUCCAGUCCACAGAGGGACAAGAGCUCAAUCUCAGCCCAUCUGGGAUCCCCUGCAGUGGCUGCUGCCAUGUCAUGGGGGGUGGGGAAUCUGGUCCCCUGUACUCCUGUCACCUAUGCUGGCACCCGCAGAGUCUGACCUCAGCACACACAGCAUGUCCUGCUGAAAUGGCACUGGAGGGCAGGCAGACCAAGGAAGAGAGCGGCACUCAGAGAACUGAAGGCUUCACAUCUGUCUGAGCCCGCUUUGGAGGCAAGCAACUACCCCGCUGCUCUGAAAUUGCCAGGUGGUCUCCUCGCCAACAGCCCCCGGACACCCCCCAGCCUCCCCUCCGCCACCUUUGUCUAGGUCAGGCAGCAGCUGGCAGCCAGCUCCUUGCCUUGAUGCUGCCCUCCACAGCCUGGGGGAGCCUGGCUCGACACAGCCCCUCAUCCCUCCAUGUUUUGUAAGGCUCAGCUCUUGGAGCUUAGAGGCUACCACACAGCGCUGUGCUGAGCGGGCACUGUCCGCAGACCUCAAGCCCCACAGGCUCUGCCACUAAAGCACUGGCACCAGACGGCUCUUCAGAUUUGUGCCUGGCCCCAGCCCCAGAGUCACAGCCUCGGAGGCAGGGGAGCCCUGCAGUGAGGACCUCGGUGGCCCCAAGCUCAUCUGCCCUCAGCAGCCGGUUUCCAGUGCAGGCCGCACCAGCUAGACACCAGGCCAUGAUUUCACAUGGGGAACAGAGUGCAGAGAAGUCAAAUAGUACUGGAGAUCGAACUCAGGACCUUGCACAUGUGAGCAGAAGCCCAAGGGCAAUCAAGGCUCUGCACGGCCCAGCUCCGGCGACCACAGCAAAGCUCCAGCCCGCCCUUCAGGAAGAUGCAGCGGCCCAAACAGUGCCCCCUCCAGUCAGGGCCGCUGAACCAGAGCUGCGGGGUCUCCGCAGGGCGACCUCGCCUGCACCCCGAGGCAGUGACCUUUGUGUUCUGCCAGGUGGGGGCUGGAGUUUGCAGCACUCGGUUCUGCCACUUAGGGUGCAAACAUGGCAUCGGAACCUCCGCCUGGCCGCGACACGUGGCGUGCGAAGAGGACACAGGGCAGAACGCAGCGGCGAAGGAGGCCGGAUCCACCCAAAAGUGCGGGACUCAGGUAGAGCUGGCACCCCUGAGGGCGUGGUCUUGAGGCCACAGUGAAAUCCUGCUGUCCACACCUGUGGUUCCGCAGCCACCACCAGAGACCCCUGGGCUGAGGCUGAGUUUGCAGCCCCUCUCAUUCCGCGAGACCGCAGUAGAGAAGGAAGUGCAGGGCACACCUCCAGGCACCGCCAUUGGCACUAGAGCGCUCACAGAGGUACUGGCAAGUUCUCUUCUCUGUCCCCCUCAGACACAGCUUUGGCCCUUCUUUUUAUGAAGAACACAAUGAGUAACACACACACACAUGCACACACGAGCACGUGUGUGUGUAGUAGGGGGACUGAACCCAGGGCCUGUGCACUAAGCUGCCUCAGACUCCUAGCGUGUGGGGUUAGAGGUGUGUGGCACCACACCUGGCACAUCUGUCACUCUAAUCUGUCUGAAGUGGUCGACCCGACGGCCCCAGGAAGUCUUGGGCGGCUCCAUCUCCUGGCAGAGGGAGCCCUGUCUUCCGCCUUUACACAGCGAGGACUCGGCAUGGUGGGAGGGCCUGGUGGAGGAGAGCUGCUCACAUCUUGGUGACCAGGAAGCAGAGAAGGGAGCACUGGGACAGCGUCACCACUCUCCUAGGGCUGCCACAGCAGAGGACCGUGAACUCUGUGGCUGAGACUCGGGGAGCAGCCUCUCCCCAGCCUCCUCCUAGCUGCCAGGAAUCCGGGGGCGAGACAGAACCUUCUGGACCCAAGAGAGAGCCUGCCCUGUGCCUCUCCUUAUGGGCACCUGAUGGCUCCUGGCCACAUGUGGCCUCCUUGGCUGGUGGACGCAUUUCCCCUGUCUCUGUCUGUUGUCACAAGGCCUUCUUCCCGUGGACAUUUAUGUGUCUGGGUCCAGAUUUCCCUCUUCUUUUUGGUGUUUUGAGGCAGGUCUCACCAUGUAGGCCAGGCUGGCCUUGAACUCACAGAGAUCCUAUUGGAUUUAGGGCUCAUCCUAAUUCAGAGUGGUCUCAACUCGGUUUCAUCCACAAAGACUUAAUUUCCCAAUAAGGCCACAUUCACAGACCUGGCAGGCCUUCAGCAUGUUUUGAGGGAAGAAAAUUCGUUUCAUGGUGUCUUCCCAAAAGAGUUAGAGACAUCAUGUUACAGUGACCCAAGGACACGGUGUUUAUAGCAGCACGACUCAUCAUAGCUAAAUCUUGGAAGCAGUCUAUAAGCUCAUCAACGGAUGAAGAAAAUGUGGUAUUUACAGACAAUGGAGUACUACUCUGCCAUAAAGAAGGAUAGACGAGUCAUUUGUAGGACAAUGGGUGCAUCUUGAGACUGGAAUGUUGUGACACAAGUCAGACACACAUGGCUGACUAAAUAUCACAUGGCUUCUCUUAUAUAAGAAACCCAGAGUAAAAAUAAAGACCAAAUAAAAAACAUGAAAGAAAGGAAGCAGGUCUUUCUCAGAGGGAAAGGGCUUCAAGAGGUGGAGGAGGAGGGAGGGAAGGGAUAAGGACCACCAAGGAACGGAAACGUUAUUUGCUACAAACACGGACCCAAAAAGGGAGAGGAGGAAGGGGUGGGGGGAGGGAAGGGAAGGAGGUGAAGAAGAAAUGCCCGUAGGAAACAUGUACUAAUUAACAUUUAAAAACCAAUCCGUCGGUCAGUAAAAGGGCACAGACAGGUACCGGGAGUGGCCACACUACUAUCAUUGACAGCAAGUGCCUCCACGAGAAGUGGAGACAGUGACCUGCGGCCAAGCUCCAGCUUGCAGCGGU
rnacentral:lncRNA from 1 species